GAUGAACGCUGGCGGCGUGCCUAAUACAUGCAAGUCGAGCGAACAGAUGAGGAGCUUGCUCCUCUGACGUUAGCGGCGGACGGGUGAGUAACACGUGGAUAACCUACCUAUAAGACUGGGAUAACUUCGGGAAACCGGAGCUAAUACCGGAUAAUAUAUUGAACCGCAUGGUUCAAUAGUGAAAGACGGUUUUGCUGUCACUUAUAGAUGGAUCCGCGCCGCAUUAGCUAGUUGGUAAGGUAACGGCUUACCAAGGCAACGAUGCGUAGCCGACCUGAGAGGGUGAUCGGCCACACUGGAACUGAGACACGGUCCAGACUCCUACGCGAGGCAGCAGUAGGGAAUCUUCCGCAAUGGGCGAAAGCUUGACGGAGCAACGCCGCGUGAGUGAUGAAGGUCUUCGGAUCGUAAAACUCUGUUAUUAGGGAAGAACAAAUGUGUAAGUAACUAUGCACGUCUUGACGGUACCUAAUCAGAAAGCCACGGCUAACUACGUG
rnacentral:rRNA from 1 species